AGAGUUUGAUCCUGGCUCAGGAUGAACGCUGGCGGCGUGCCUAACACAUGCAAGUCGAGCGAUCUUCUUCGGAAGAGAGCGGCGGACGGGUGAGUAACGCGUGGGUAACCUGCCCUGUACACACGGAUAACAUACCGAAAGGUAUGCUAAUACGAGAUAAUAUGCUUUUGUCGCAUGGUAGAAGUAUCAAAGCUUUUGCGGUACAGGAUGGACCCGCGUCUGAUUAGCUAGUUGGUAAGGUAACGGCUUACCAAGGCGACGAUCAGUAGCCGACCUGAGAGGGUGAUCGGCCACAUUGGAACUGAGACACGGUCCAAACUCCUACGGGAGGCAGCAGUGGGGAAUAUUGCACAAUGGGCGAGAGCCUGAUGCAGCAACGCCGCGUGAGCGAUGAAGGCCUUCGGGUCGUAAAGCUCUGUCCUCAAGGAAGAUAAUGACGGUACUUGAGGAGGAAGCCCCGGCUAACUACGUGCCAGCAGCCGCGGUAAUACGUAGGGGGCUAGCGUUAUCCGGAAUUACUGGGCGUAAAGGGUGCGUAGGUGGUUUCUUAAGUCAGAGGUGAAAGGCUACGGCUCAACCGUAGUAAGCCUUUGAAACUGGGAAACUUGAGUGCAGGAGAGGAGAGUGGAAUUCCUAGUGUAGCGGUGAAAUGCGUAGAUAUUAGGAGGAACACCAGUUGCGAAGGCGGCUCUCUGGACUGUAACUGACACUGAGGCACGAAAGCGUGGGGAGCAAACAGGAUUAGAUACCCUGGUAGUCCACGCCGUAAACGAUGAGUACUAGCUGUCGGAGGUUACCCCCUUCGGUGGCGCAGCUAACGCAUUAAGUACUCCGCCUGGGAAGUACGCUCGCAAGAGUGAAACUCAAA
rnacentral:rRNA from 1 species